rnacentral:rRNA from 1 species
AGAGUUUGAUCAUGGCUCAGAACGAACGCUGGCGGCGUGGAUAAGACAUGCAAGUCGAACGAGACUUUUCGUUGUAGCAAUACGAUGGAAAGUUUAGUGGCGAACGGGUGCUUAACACGUGGGCAACCUGCCAUGAAGUGGGGGAUAGCUCGCCGAAAGGCGAAUUAAUACCGCAUGUGAUUAGAGAGGACAUCCUUUCGAAAUUAAAGUCGGGGCAACCUGACGCUUCUUGUGGGGCCCGCGGCCUAUCAGCUAGUUGGUGAGGUAACGGCUCACCAAGGCUUUGACGGGUAGCUGGUCUGAGAGGACGACCAGCCACACUGGGACUGAGACACGGCCCAGACACCUACGGGUGGCAGCAGUCGAGAAUUUUUGACAAUGGGGGAAACCCUGAUCGAGCGACGCCGCGUGGAGGAUGAAGGUCUUCGGAUUGUAAACUCCUGUCAUUGGGGAACAAGGUGCACAUGUUAACUGUAUGUGCAUUGAUAGUACCCGAAGAGGAAGAGACGGCUAACUCUGUGCCAGCAGCCGCGGUAAUACAGAGGUCUCAAGCGUUGUUCGGAUUCAUUGGGCGUAAAGGGUGCGUAGGCGGCGCGGUAAGUCGGGUGUGAAAUCUCGGAGCUUAACUCCGAAACUGCAUUCGAUACUGCCGUGCUUGAGGACUGGAGAGGAGACUGGAAUUUACGGUGUAGCGGUGAAAUGCGUAGAUAUCGUAA